UACGUAGGUGGCAAGCGUUGUCCGGAUUUACUGGGUGUAAAGGGCGUGCAGCCGGGCUGACAAGUCAGAUGUGAAAUCCUGUGGCUUAACCACAGGACUGCAUUUGAAACUGUUGGUCUUGAGUAUCGGAGAGGUAAUCGGAAUUCCUUGUGUAGCGGUGAAAUGCGUAGAUAUAAGGAAGAACACCAGUGGCGAAGGCGGAUUACUGGACGACAACUGACGGUGAGGCGCGAAAGCGUGGGGAGCAAAC
rnacentral:rRNA from 1 species